GGAGAAGCAAAGUGAUGAGCAUUGCUGGCUGGAGCCCCAAAGAGGCACACGUGUGUGUGUGUGUGUAUGUAUGUAUAUAUCUGUGCCCUUGUCUGUGCAUGCACACAUAUGUCUGGGAGUAUGAGUGUGUGUGACUGGUGGUAGGGAACUAGUUAUGUGCCUUCUGUUGGACCAUGACAGUCAAACUGAUAAGAUCUGAUUGCUUC
rnacentral:snoRNA from 1 species